rnacentral:tRNA from 1 species
GUCCAUGAUGGCCGAAACUCAAGGCAUCGAGCUUUUAACUCGACUAUAGUUAAUUUUAUACUUCAGGACG